CUCUUUCUCGAUUCAGUGGAUGGUGGUGCAUGGCCGUUCUUAGUUGGUGGAGUGAUCUGUCUGGUUAAUUCCGAUAACGAACGAGACUCUCCCCUGCUAACUAGUCGGUUGGAUCUUGAUCAGUGGGUUGAGUGCCGAGUAACUCUCGCCGUGCGUGCUGUGCGUUUCGUUCCUCACGGUUCGUUGCGUGCGCAUGUGUGGUGUUGGAUGCCUUGGAUCACACUGCACCCCAAGUCCGCCGCUUUGCUAUAACUCUUCUUAGAGGGAUUCACGGCACUGAAGCCGUAAGAGACUGAGAGCAAUAACAGGUCUGUGAUGCCCUUAGAUGCUCUGGGCCGCACGCGCGCUACAAUGCCGGGCACAGCAGGUGUUUCUCCUGCUCCGACAGGAGCGGGUAACCCUCUGAAAGCCAGUGUUCUUGCAAGUGCUUCCUCCCUCGUGGAGUUGCACAGAGGCGUGCUUGGGCCUGGGACUUGCAAUUCUUUCCCACCAACGAGGAAUGCCUAGUAGCGGCGGGUCACUGAGCCCGCUGUGACUCAGUCCCUGCCCUUUGUACACACCGCCCGUCGCUACUACCGAUUGGGUGUACCAGUGAGAGCCUUGGACUGGCGUCCGUUGUUGCUCGCAAGAGUGACAAGCGGGUCCGACGGAAAGAGGUCCGAACUGGUGCACUUAGAGGAAGUAAAAGUCGUAACAAGGUUUCCGUAGGUGAACCUGCGGAAGGAU
rnacentral:rRNA from 1 species